rnacentral:rRNA from 1 species
UCGAGAAUCUUCCGCAAUGGACGAAAGUCUGACGGAGCGACGCCGCGUGAUUGAUGAAGUCCCUCUGGGACGUAAAGAUCUUUUAUGAGCUACUAAGUUAUUGAAGAGCUCAUGAAUAAGGGGUUGCUAAACUCGUGCCAGCAGCAGCGGUAAUACGAGUGCCCCAAGCGUUAUCCGGAAUCAUUGGGCGUAAAGGGUGUGUAGGUGGUCGUGUUAGUCUUUCGUCAAAGCCCGGGGCUCAACCUCGGAUCUGCGAAAGAAACGGCACGACUGGAGGGUGCGAGGGGUCUGUGGAACUCAUGGAGUAGGGGUGAAAUCCGUUGAUAUCAUGGGGAACACCAAAAGCGAAGGCAGCAGACUGGCGCAUUCCUGACACUGAAACACGAAAGCGUGGGUAGCGAAUGGGAUUAGAUACCCCCGUAGUCC